GACGAAGGGGGGCUAGCGUUGUUCGGAAUUACUGGGCGUAAAGCGCGUGUAGGCGGUUGUUCAAGUCAGGUGUGAAAGCCUUGAGCUCAACUCAAGAAAUGCACUUGAUACUGGAUGACUAGAGGACCGGAGAGGAUAGUGGAAUUCCCAGUGUAGUGGUGAAAUACGUAGAGAUUGGGAAGAACACCAGUGGCGAAGGCGGCUAUCUGGACGGUUUCUGACGCUAAGACGCGAAAGCGUGGGGAGCAAACAGGAUUAGAAACCC
rnacentral:rRNA from 1 species